AAUAUUGGACAAUGGGGGCAACCCUGAUCCAGCCAUGCCGCGUGUGUGAAGAAGGUAUUCGGCUUGUAAAGCACUUUAAUUUGGGAGGAAGGGCUUUAGGGUAAUACCCUGAAGGUUUGCCGUUACCAACAGAAUAAGCCACGGCUAACUUUGUGCCAGCCGCCGCGGUAAUACAGAGGGUGAAAGCGUUAAUCGGAAUUACUUGGCGUAAAGCGCGCGGAGGUGGUUCAGUAAGAUGGGUGUGAAAUCCCCGGGCUUAACCUAGGAACUGCUUUCAUAACUGCUGAGCUAGAGUACAGUAGAGGGUAGUGGAAUUUCCUGUGUAGCGGUGAAAUGCGUAGAUAUAGGAAGGAACACCAGUGGCGAAGGCGACUACCUGGACUGAUACUGACACUGAGGUGCGAAAGCGUGGGGAGCAAAC
rnacentral:rRNA from 1 species